AAAAAGUUCAUCUGGGGAGGAAAAAAAAAAACUUUGGUUUAUUUUUGUUUUGUUUUGUUUUUUCGUUUCGUUGGUUUAAGUUUGGUUCUUGAGUGACGUAUGAUGCGAGAAACUUUUAUUUGUUUGUUUCUAUAUAUAUAUUUUUUAUAUGAGACUUUUCUAUGACUGAAAAUAGUGGAAGACAUUCAAAAGGAACAUUUAGAUAACUUAAUUCCAUUUGCAUACUGUGAAAUAAAUCUUUACUUGCUUUUAGUUUCUGAUCGUCUACGAAUAUUUAGUUUUCGAACACGCGACGUAUAAACGCUAAAGAGAAGACGAAGGGAAAAAAAAUCCACAGAAAAGGAUGAGCGAAAAUGAAAAUCGAAAGUGAAAGAAAGUGAAAAUAAAGCAUAAUUAAUCAUUUAACAACAGAAACAAGAACGUAAAGUGAAGCGUCUUUUGAAUCGUCAUCCCAAACUCGACAAUUAAAAAUAAAUAAAUAAAGAAAAGCAACAAAGAAACAGACAAACAAACCGAUUAAGGAUUUUUCUUUGUUUCUCUUCCAUUUUUUUGGAGAGAGAAAGGAAAGACAAAAAAAAAAAAAAAAAAAAAAACGAUUGUGCUUCUUCUUCUUCUCCUUUUCUUAAGAAGUUUAUUCCUCGUAAACUUCCCUUAAUCAUGAACGUAAUUUCGAAUCAAACCUUUUGAAUUAAAAGUUACAAAUGCGACCAUCAACAAGAUACGACCACUCUCGCUACAACGACCACUAGAAGGCGAGAAAUAAGCGGAGAGAAAGAGAUAGAGAAAGAGAAAGGAAGAGACAGACAGACACACACGCAUACGUGAGCAGCAGCGGCCCAGGACACCUUCCGCAGAUUCGGAUCUUUAGAAAUACCGUUGGGAAAAAGAAAGAAAAAAAAUCAGCUACUAAGAGACAUCAACACAAGAAGUAAAAAAAAAAAAAACAAGAAAAAAAGGAGAAAAAAAAAGAAGAAAAUACAUCACUUUGACGACCUUUUGAUCCUUCGACAAGAAAAGAAACAAAAAAAUCUACAAGGAAGAUCCCACCGCUGCUAACAACACCUGGACAGAUUCAGCCGCAUCAGGAAACCGCUGUUGCCUGACUAAUAGCUGCUGUCUAGUUAACCGCUUCCGUUUUGGGCUAACAGAUGCUACCUAUCUAUCAACAACUAUUUGAUUAAUAGCUGUUAUCUGGCUAACAGUUGUUCUCUCUGACAGCUGGUAUUUGGAUAACACUUAUUGUCUGUCUAACAAAUGCUAUCGAACUAAUAACUUUUGAUAAAUAGUUGUUGCCUACUUAAUAGCCGCUGUCCAACAAACAGCUGUUAUCUGACUAACAAAUAUCUACCUAAAAGCUGCAGUCUAAGGAACAGCUGCUAUAAAACAAACAGCUUUAGUAAACCGGACAGGAGAGUGAUGACUUUUACGAGUGAUGGAUGAGAUGAGACAAAAGAUUUUAUACAUCUCUUUCUACAACCAUUAUUACCGAGAGAAUAGCGAGAGAUAGAGGAAAAAGUGGAGGAAAUUAUGUACACUGCAAUAUUGCUUGAUAUCCUUGUGUGAGGUAACGAUAACACUUGUUUGAUUAAAAGAGAGCUGUGUAUACAAAAUCAGCGGAUGGAAAACCAGACUUAGAGGAAAGUCGAGUGUUUGGAAUAGCGCAGAGAAGAUCGAGAAAUACGGCGUUAACCAACCUUCGUGUGGUGGGGCUUAAUUUCCGCUGAGGAGUGAGAUUACCUUCUCCCGUGAUUGGGCCCUCUUUAAGAAUUCUAAUUAACAGACAACACAAGGCUAAACAACAUUAAGAGUAGAAAAAAGAAAGCAAAAGAAGAAAAAAAUAAACAUUUUGUGUCAU